AAUCACUCGAGGACUAACCCCCUGUUCAACUUCUUAUGUUUUUAACCUGGCCAUGAGCGGCUAAUUCCGCCGUUCAUAGGCUCUGAUGGAAACCUGUUACACAAGUUCAUGGAUUUGAUUUGGAAUUAAGGGAUUCAAAAAUAAUCUUAAGGAGAUGGAAGUUGUUCUUUGGUCCCUGCAAGUUGGGUUCAAUUUCAUCCAAUUGCUUCUCACAGCAGAUGAGGAAGAUUACUAAAUGAUGGGGUCAGUCAUAUGCUAGAGGAGUAAACUAUGAUAAGCAGUGGUUAGAAUUUCUUAUGGAAGGGACACAGGGAUAGAGAGGAAAUUGUGAUUGAACCAUCAUCAUCUUUUUGUGAUCGUGCACAUUUCUGUUUCAAGAGUCAAGUCGCAUCGCCAGAUGGUUUGAAGGGGCCAGAUAUACACAUAACUAGGGGAACAAUUAUAUCAACCUUGGCAUCUUAACUCUACUUGAAGAAUCUGUAUCUAUCCCAUUUUUAAGAACUUGGUGUAACAGGAGAAAAUCAGAGCCUAUGAGCAUUUUUUCCUGUAUUUAUCUCUGUUUCUUAGCUUAGAAUCAUAUUGUUGCUUGUAUUUAUUAGUCUCUAUCUUUCUGCUUAUUGAUAGUAGGUAUUUAGUUUUGUUUA